rnacentral:rRNA from 1 species
AGUGAACGCUGGCGGUAGGCCUAACACAUGCAAGUCGAACGGCAGCACAGUAAGAGCUUGCUCUUACGGGUGGCGAGUGGCGGACGGGUGAGGAAUACAUCGGAAUCUACUUUUUCGUUGGGGAUAACGUAGGGAAACUUACGCUAAUACCGCAUACUACCUACGGGUGAAAGCAGGGGAUCUUCGGACCUUGCGCGAUUGAAUGAGCCGAUGUCGGAUUAGCUAGUUGGCGGGGUAAAGGCCCACCAAGGCGACGAUCCGUAGCUGGUCUGAGAGGAUGAUCAGCCACACUGGAACUGAGACACGGUCCAGACUCCUACGGGAGGCAGCAGUGGGGAAUAUUGGACAAUGGGCGCAAGCCUGAUCCAGCCAUACCGCGUGGGUGAAGAAGGCCUUCGGGUUGUAAAGCCCUUUUGUUGGGAAAGAAAAGCAGCAGGUUAAUACCCCGCUGUUCUGACGGUACCCAAAGAAUAAGCACCGGCUAACUUCGUG